GAAGAGACCACCAAACAGGCUUUGUGUGAGCAACAUGGUUGUUUAUUUCACCUGGGUGCAGGUGGGCUGAGUCCGAAAAGAGAGUCAGCAAAGGGAGAUAGGGAUGGGGCCAUUUUAUAGGAUUUGGGAAGGUAAUGGAAAAUUACAGUCAAAGGGGGUUGUUCUCUGGUGGGCAGGGGCGGGGGUCACAAGGUGCUCAGUGGGGGAGCUUCUGAGCCAGGAAAAGGAAAUUCACAGGGUUAAUCACUCAGUUAAGGUGGGGCAAGAACAAAUCACAAUGGUGGAAUGUCAUCAGAUAAGGCGGGGCAGGGCCUUUUCACUUCUUUUGUGAUUCUUCAGUUACUUCAGGCCAUCUGGGCAUAUACAUGCAAGUCACAGGGGAUGCGAUGGCUUGGCUUGGGCUCAGAGGCCUGACAUUUCUCACAUUUCAAAAUGUAACAAUGGUUUUCCAACAGUCCAUUACCUCUUUCCAGCAUUACCAGUAAAGUCCAAAGUCCCAAGUCUCUUCUGAGACAAGGCAAGUCCCUUUUGCCCAUGAGCCUGUGAAAUCAGAAACAAGUUAUUUACUUCCAAGAUACAAUGGGGAUUUAGGCAUUGGGUAAAUACUCCAAUUCCAAAAGGUAGAAAUAAGCCAAAAGAAAUAAGAUACAGGCCCCAUGCAAGUCUGACACCCAGCAGCACAGUCUUUAAAACUAAAGCUCCAAAAUAAUCUCCUUUGACCCCAUAUCUCACAUUUAGGGCACACUGAUGCAAGGGUUAGACUCCCAAGGCCCUGAGAAGCUCUACUCCUGUGGCUUUGCAGGGCUCAACCCUCAUGGCUACUCUCAUGGGCCGGCAUUGCGUGCCUAUGGCUUUUCCAGGUGCAGUGUGCAAGCUGCCAGUGGCUCUUCCAUUCCAGGGUCUUGAGGAUGGUGGGUAUCUUCUCCCAGCUCCUGGCCCAGUGAAAACUGUGUGGAGACACUUACCCCACAUUUUGCUUCUAUACUGCCCUAGUAGAGGUUCUUCAUGAGGGCACUGCCCUUGUAGCAGGCUUCUGCCUGGACAUUCAGGCUUUUCUAUAUAUCCUCUGAAAUGUAGGCUCCCAAGCCUAAACUGUUGCACUUUGUGCACCUGCAGGGUUACCACCACAUGGAAGCUGCCAAGCUUUAUGACAUGUACCUUCUGAAGCAACAGGCCGAGCUGUACCUUGACCCUUUUGAGCCAUGACUAGAGCAGCUGGGAUGCAGUGAGCAGUGUCCUGAGGCUGCACAGGGCAGCAGAGCCCUGGGCCUGGCCCAAAAUUUAUUCUGUCCUCCUAGGCCUCUGGUCCUGUGAUGGGAAGGGCUGCUGCAAAGGUCUCUGAAAUGCCUUUAAGGCCUUCUCCUUAUUGUUUUGGCUAUUAGCACUUCGCUCCCUUUACUUAUGCAAAUUUCUGCAGCCUGCUUGAAUUCCUCCCCUGAACAUGGGCUUUUCUUUUCUACCACAUGCUUUCCUACACACUUUCAGAAAACUGGAUCUCAUGAGAACUCACUAUCAUAAUGACAGCACCAAGGAAGAUGGUGUUAAACCAUGAGAAACAUUAGUUUAUUUGCCAAUGUCUGAGGUAGGCAGGUGAGGACAGCGUUUGUGCUGUUGUGGAAAUGUGUUCUGAACAGGGACCUUGAAGUGAGGUGGAGGAGGUGGCCAAGGGAGAGAACACUCAGGACCCCAGAUGGCUGCUGCUGCCCAGGACAUCCCCGCCUCUUAUGGAUGUUACCCAGAUUGUAGCAGGGAGAGGCUUCCUUUAAGUAGAGAGUAAACGGACUAAGAAAGCGAUAGAUGGCUCCACAUGCCAAGAAUGUUCUUUUCCUUUUCUCUCCCUUUUCUCCCUCUCCUUUUCUUUUCAUGAUAUCAAAUGCCAGAGAGGCGUGCAGAGCACGUAGGGGGCCUUCCUUGCGUUGCUGCUACCCAAGCCUGCCUGGGCUGUAAGUUCCCCCGGAGCACCCCUUUGCCCCCACCUGUGGCAUGGUCGGCCUCUCUUGGGCCCAAGCCUACCCUCUGCUUCCUCAGAGCGGGUCUCAGACCAGGCAGGGGGUUUCCCAGGAGUCCCUGGGAAGGUUUGUUUUCUGCAGUGCCAUGGUGACAUAAAUGGUUGCUUUCCUUAUCAUUUUUCAAUAUUUAGUGGCCACUGAUUACUGCCUUAGAAACACGGAGCAAUUGAGGUUUUCCUGCCCCUUUCCAAUUCCAGUUCAAUGUAAUUUUCCUGCUGUGACUCCUGUCCCUCUCUGAUGUCCUCUCCCCUAUUCAGGCUUCAACAGAAGCCUUCUAUCCCCUCUCAAAGCUCCGUCCUCCCCAGGAGACACCAGCCAGUCUCUGUGCUUCCUCCUCCCACCCUCUCCCAGGGAGUCCUCCCUCACCUGUGAGCAGGAGCCCCUGCCAGGGGAUGCAUCCUCUGCGGGGAGGGGCUGAGGGGGGCCUCAUGGUCUCUGCUGCCUGCUUCUCUUCUGUGGAGAGGAGCUUAGCUCCAGGAUGAUCAGAGCUACUGUGACUGCCAGUUCUGCUGUCUUUCCUCCCUCUGUGCUGAGCCUUCUCUCAGGGCAGGAGCACUUCCUAGGGCCAGGGGCAGG
rnacentral:lncRNA from 1 species